GGGUUAAGUCCCGCAACGAGCGCAACCCCUAUUUUAGUUGCCAUCAGGUUAAGCUGGGCACUCUAAAGAGACUGCCGUCGAUAAGGCGGAGGAAGUGGGGACGACGUCAAGUCAUCAUGGCCCUUAUGUCUAGGGCUACACACGUGCUACAAUGGGUUAUACAGAGGGCAGCUAGCUCGCGAGAGUCUGCGAAUCCCUUAAAGUAAUCCUCAGUUCGGAUUGUAGUCUGCAACUCGACUACAUGAAGUUGGAAUCGCUAGUAAUCGCAGGUCAGCAAAACUGCGGUGAAUACGUUCCCGGGCCUU
rnacentral:rRNA from 1 species